UGGGGAAUCUUGCGCAAUGGGCGAAAGCCUGACGCAGCGACGCCGCGUGAGUGAUGAAGGCCUUCGGGUCGUAAAGCUCUGUCGGAAGGGACGAAUUCUCCCUGGGUGAACAAUCCAGGGAAUUGACGGUACCUUCAAAGGAAGCACCGGCUAACUCUGUGCCAGCAGCCGCGGUAAGACAGAGGGUGCAAGCGUUGCUCGGAAUUAUUGGGCGUAAAGCGCGUGUAGGCGGCCUAGCAAGUGGGGUGUGAAAGCCCUCGGCUCAACCGAGGAAGUGCGCCUCAAACUACUAGGCUUGAGUGCUGGAGAGGGAAGCGGAAUUCCCGGUGUAGAGGUGAAAUUCGUAGAUAUCGGGAGGAACACCAGUGGCGAAGGCGGCUUCCUGGACAGACACUGACGCUGAGACGCGAAAGCGUGGGGAGCAAACAGG
rnacentral:rRNA from 1 species